rnacentral:lncRNA from 1 species
AACACUUCUAUUUCAAUUAUCACAAAGUUUGGCAGCAAAAAUAGAUUGAACAAGGCUCAAGCCAGUAACCCAAUAACACACAAAGCAGCUCCACAAGAAGGAACUAAGAAUCACACUCAAAACCACAAAGGAAACCAUCCUAGGAAUCACAUGGAGACAGCCAUACAAGUAGACAAUAAGGUGGCAGCAAAGCAGGAGAAAAACCAAAACAGCAAGAAAUCAAACCAGGUAGCGUUGGCCAAGGUGACUAAUAAUGACAUGAAUUGUUCAGUUUACAUCCAUUUCUACUCGCAUUUUCAUGAUAAAUUGAUGCCUAAAUGCACUCAGUACCUUUAUAUUUUGAUUUAGGUUGCAAAUGGAUGAAUACAAUAGAAAUUAGAAGAAACAAGCAAAAGAGAUUAGAGUGAAAGAAAACAACAGUUCCAGGACCAAAAUGCAGAUAUUCAAAAGAUGAACCGAAAGGUAAAAUGAAGAUAUGAAAGAAUUGAAGGCUAAUUGGAAGAAGAUAUAAAGUAUCGAACGAAGAAGAAAUAACUAAAGAGGUCAAGAUAUGAGAAAGCAAAGUUCAGGGACUAAAUCGACAAGUUUGAAAGUUCAUCAUAACCAUGCGGUCGCAUGGAAGAAAGAAGCAUGUAGUGGCACCUUCAAUUCCAGAGAUUCUAGGGCUUAACUGAAAAAACCAUGUGAUCACGUGGAAUACUACCAUGUGGUCGUAUGGUAGUCCUGCGAGGCAAGAAUUUUAGUUUCCUAAUUUACAUCAAACUCUUUUGGAAACACAUUUUGGGGACGAUUUUUAAACCCUAGGUCAUCCCAGAAUGGAGGAGACACAUCUACAUACCUAUUUUUCUCUUUUCUUAAGACAUCUAUGGAGAACUAAGGAUUUUAGUGAAACUACAAACGAACUUAGUUGGUUUUGGUGACUUCAACAUCUUUUGAUUCAUGUAAAUUGAUUUUUCACUAUCAAACAAUUCUAGGGUUUAGAUUUUCUUCUCAUAAAUUUAUUUAGAAAUUGGCUUCACUUUUAUUAAUUUUUUAAUGGAUU